AACGAACGCUGGCGGCGCGUUUUUAAGCAUGCAAGUCGAACGGGAGUUCAUGUGCUUGCACAUGAUGAGAGUGGCGAACGGGUGAGUAACGCGUAGAUGAUCUGCCCUUUGGUUGGGGAUAGCCUAUGGAACAUGGGGUAAGUACCGAAUAAGCUCUUUUUGUCUAUGGUGAUUAGAGGAAAAAGGACAUUAGCCUUGCCGAAGGAUGAGUCUGCGUCUGAUUAGCUAGUUGGUGUGGUAAUGGCGCACCAAGGCGACGAUCAGUAGCCGGCCUGAGAGGGUGGACCGGCCACAUUGGGACGUGAGACACGGCCCACGACUCCCUACGGGAGGCAGCAGCUAAGAAUCUUCCGCAAUGGGCGCAAGCCUGACGGAGCGACGCCGCGUGGGUGAAGAAUGCCGAGAGGUUGUAAAACCCUUUUCUUACAGAAGAAUAAUAAUCGGAGGUAAUGCCGGUUAGAUGACGUUAUGUAAGGAAUAAGCACCGGCCAAUUACGUG
rnacentral:rRNA from 1 species